rnacentral:rRNA from 1 species
CCACCUGAUUCCAUACCGAACUCAGAAGUGAAAAGCUGUAACGUCGAUGGUAGUGUGGGGAUUCCCCAUGUGAGAGUAGAGCAUCGUCGGGG